UUAUUCCAGAAGUACAUCUAGAAUAAAGAAGACAAAAUGCCAGCUGGAAAGAUAAGAUAAAAAGCAAUAAUGGAGCAGAUACGACGCAAUAAUGGAGCAGAAAAAGAGCAAUAAUGGAGCAGAUACGACAGAAGAUAUUUUGACUUAUUUCUUACGAUACAAAUAAUGUAAAUCAUUAACUACUUUUCUUACUUUUCUUACUU
rnacentral:lncRNA from 1 species